UAAGGCUCAUAUACCAUUGCCACACUUUCCCUUCUCUUCCACCAUCGCCGGCCACCGUCUUGAGAUUGGCAUUGUUCAAUCUAUUGUUCGUGAGGCCUAUUUCAAUUUUCACUCCUUCUAAAAAUGGAUGCUAACAUUCCUGACAUUCCUAACACUGGAAAAGAUAGAUUCGGAUUUGCAAAGGUG